UCCCGGAUGGCGGAGUGGUUAACGCACCUGCCUAGUAAGUAUGAGGUCCCGGGUUCGAGUCCUGGUCCGGUAU